GUUACUCAAGAAAAGGAUUUAAGUCCAACCUAAAGUCAUCAUUACUACCCUUAAAUAACUACAUUACUUUAGAGCAAUUCAAAUAAGGUACAGCCUAUUUGAAACAGGAUACAACCUCUAGAGACGGGUAAUACCUAUUCACGGUAACCAAGUAGGCUUAAAAGCAGCCACCUUUAAAAUAGCGUCAAAGCUUCAUUACCCCUACACCCAAUUCCUUCUAUAACCCAGAACCCUCCACCACUACUGAGUACUUCUAUAUUUUUAUAGAAUAUUUUAUGUUAAAACUAGUAACAAGAAGCAGAACUUCACUAAAAUGUAAGUGUAAGCCAGAAAGGACACACCACUGGCCAUUAACACCCCUGCAAACAAAUUAAUAACUUUCCCCGAGAAAAAUUUAAUUUUUUUAACGUUAACCUGACGCAAGAGCAUUUCAAGUAAGAUUAAAAGAAAAAGAAGGAACUCGGCAAAUAUUAACCUCGCCUGUUUACCAAAAACAUCGCCUCUUGCCCCAAUAUAAGAGGUCCAGCCUGCCCAGUGACUCUGUUCAACGGCCGCGGUAUCCUA
rnacentral:rRNA from 1 species